CAUAGGUUAAUGAGGCGAACCGGGGGAACUGAAACAUCUAAGUACCCCGAGGAAAAGAAAUCAACCGAGAUUCCCCCAGUAGCGGCGAGCGAACGGGGAGCAGCCCAGAGCCUGAAUCAGUGUGUGUGUUAGUGGAAGCGUCUGGAAAGGCGCGCGAUACAGGGUGACAGCCCCGUACACAAAAAUGCACAUGCUGUGAGCUCGAUGAGUAGGGCGGGACACGUGGUAUCCUGUCUGAAUAUGGGGGGACCAUCCUCCAAGGCUAAAUACUCCUGACUGACCGAUAGUGAACCAGUACCGUGAGGGAAAGGCGAAAAGAACCCCGGCGAGGGGAGUGAAAAAGAACCUGAAACCGUGUACGUACAAGCAGUGGGAGCACGCUUCGGCGUGUGACUGCGUACCUUUUGUAUAAUGGGUCAGCGACUUAUAUUCUGUAGCAAGGUUAACCGAAUAGGGGAGCCGAAGGGAAACCGAGUCUUAACUGGGCGUUAAGUUGCAGGGUAUAGACCCGAAACCCGGUGAUCUAGCCAUGGGCAGGUUGAAGGUUGGGUAACACUAACUGGAGGACCGAACCGACUAAUGUUGAAAAAUUAGCGGAUGACUUGUGGCUGGGGGUGAAAGGCCAAUCAAACCGGGAGAUAGCUGGUUCUCCCCGAAAGCUAUUUAGGUAGCGCCUCGUGAAUUCAUCUCCGGGGGUAGAGCACUGUUUCGGCAAGGGGGUCAUCCCGACUUACCAACCCGAUGCAAACUGCGAAUACCGGAGAAUGUUAUCACGGGAGACACACGGCGGGUGCUAACGUCCGUCGUGAAGAGGGAAACAACCCAGACCGCCAGCUAAGGUCCCAAAGUCAUGGUUAAGUGGGAAACGAUGUGGGAAGGCCCAGACAGCCAGGAUGUUGGCUUAGAAGCAGCCAUCAUUUAAAGAAAGCGUAAUAGCUCACUGGUCGAGUCGGCCUGCGCGGAAGAUGUAACGGGGCUAAACCAUGCACCGAAGCUGCGGCAGCGACGCUUAUGCGUUGUUGGGUAGGGGAGCGUUCUGUAAGCCUGUGAAGGUGUGCUGUGAGGCAUGCUGGAGGUAUCAGAAGUGCGAAUGCUGACAUAAGUAACGAUAAAGCGGGUGAAAAGCCCGCUCGCCGGAAGACCAAGGGUUCCUGUCCAACGUUAAUCGGGGCAGGGUGAGUCGACCCCUAAGGCGAGGCCGAAAGGCGUAGUCGAUGGGAAACAGGUUAAUAUUCCUGUACUUGGUGUUACUGCGAAGGGGGGACGGAGAAGGCUAUGUUGGCCGGGCGACGGUUGUCCCGGUUUAAGCGUGUAGGCUGGUUUUCCAGGCAAAUCCGGAAAAUCAAGGCUGAGGCGUGAUGACGAGGCACUACGGUGCUGAAGCAACAAAUGCCCUGCUUCCA
rnacentral:rRNA from 1 species